UAUAAGAGACAGCAGUAGCCGCGGGAAAACGUAGGUGGCAAGCGUUGUCCGGAAUUAUUGGGCGUAAAGGGCUCGCAGGCGGUUUCUUAAGUCUGAUGUGAAAGCCCCCGGCUCAACCGGAGAGGGUCAUUGGAAACUGGGAAACUUGAGUGCAGAAGAGGAGAGUGGAAUUCCACGUGUAGCGGUGAAAUGCGUAGAGAUGUGGAGGAACACCAGUGGCGAAGGCGACUCUCUGGUCUGUAACUGACGCUGAGGAGCGAAAGCGUGGGGAGCGAACAGGAUUAGAUACCCCCAGUAGUCCCUGUCUCUUAUU
rnacentral:rRNA from 1 species